UGUAAAAUGCGGAUAAUAUAGCCUUGCGAAAUUUGCAAUUUUCAGUCAUUUUGUAUUACAAACGGGAAAUGAUGCCCCAACACCCGAUUGGGCUGUCAAUUUCCCGUGCGUAAUACAAAAUGACUGAAAAACGGCAAACUCUUCGCAAGGCUAUAUUAUCCGCAUUUUGCAACAUUUCGCAACGAAACUUUGAAAUAUUACUAAUUUUGUGAUGCUCUUUCAAGCUGUGAUGAAAUUUUUGUCUAGA